rnacentral:rRNA from 1 species
GUGGGGAAUCUUGCGCAAUGGGCGAAAGCCUGACGCAGCCAUGCCGCGUGAAUGAUGAAGGUCUUAGGAUUGUAAAAUUCUUUCACCGGGGACGAUAAUGACGGUACCCGGAGAAGAAGCUCCGGCUAACUUCGUGCCAGCAGCCGCGGUAAUACGAAGGGGGCUAGCGUUGCUCGGAAUUACUGGGCGUAAAGGGCGCGUAGGCGGACAGCUUAGUCAGAGGUGAAAGCCCAGGGCUCAACCUUGGAAUUGCCUUUGAUACUGGCUGUCUUGAGUUUGGGAGAGGUGAGUGGAACUCCGAGUGUAGAGGUGAAAUUCGUAGAUAUUCGGAAGAACACCAGUGGCGAAGGCGACUCACUGGCCCAAUACUGACGCUGAGGCGCGAAAGCGUGGGGGGCAAACAGGAUUAGAAACCCCAGUAGUCC